rnacentral:rRNA from 1 species
UGAGGAAUAUUGGACAAUGGGCGAAAGCUUGAUCCAGCUAUACCGCACGGGUGAUGAAGGUCAUAUCGAUUGUAAAACCCUGAUUUCAAGAUGAGAUUAUGACAUAUCUUGAAAGAAUAGUCCCGGCUAACUCCGUGCCAGCAGCCGCGGUAAUACGGGGGGGGCUAGCGUUAUUCGGAAUGAUUGGGCGUACAGGGCGCGUAGGCGGUUCAGAGCAAAGAGAAUGUUCAAGACCAGAAUUUCUUUGUGGAAAAGCAUUCUUUUAUUGUUGAACUUGAGUAAGUGAGAGGAAAGUGGAAUUUCUGGAGGAGAGGUAAAAUUUGUUGAUAUCAGAAAGAACACCGAAAGCGAAGGCAACUUUCUAACACUUGACUGACGCUGAGGCGCGAAAGCGUGGGGAGCAAAAG